rnacentral:lncRNA from 1 species
AACUCUGAGGUGCAAGUCUCUAUUGAACUUUCAGAGAUGUGACUUGCUGAGAUAACAACCAGGUACCUUGAAGAUUCUCACCAGAACACCCAAGCAAAAAAGAAGAGUAUUUGAUAGGAUUGUGCUUUCAUACACAACAAUCAGGUAUGUGGUUAAGCUCAAAGUAAGCUAUACUGGCAGCUAAUAAUGAUGCAAACUCCUUAGUUUCUGAUCAAGCAGUACGCCUUUCCACUCGUCUACCCCUUUCAAAAGAAAAGAGAAAGAUAAGGUUAAAUUCAGAUGUCCUGUGUUGCAUUGAUGGUCUGGUAGAUCCUUUUCCUAUGCAAUAUCUCAAGCCAUAUAUGAUCGCUCUUACUCUGAACUGCAAAGAGAGCAUCCGUGUCCACACACCGAGAUGCACGAGCACAUGCGCGCUUGCGUGCGCCUACAACUUACCCCCUGACGGACAACUCCUGUCAUGAAACCGGAGCACGGAAACUGAAUUGACCAGUAGCAGAACAUCAAACAGUCUAAAUUCAAUGCACCAGAGGAGUAUGUUUUAUCUCUCCCGUUGUUUCUGUCCUCCCAAAAUCCUCACUUCUCCUUGUCGCCAUCCUCCACAUCAAGUGCCCCCGACCCUUCUUUGAGGCAACACAGCAAGCAGGUAGCAGGCUGGACACAGCAGCGAGAGAGGUAGAGGAUUGAAGAGGGCUUCACUUCCCGGGCUUUAUGGGUCGCUGAAGCUUCAAUGAAUGACCUGAAGAGAGAGGGAACACCAACUCUCAACAUUCCAAGUAAUACAAACUAAAAUAAAGUAAAUUCAUGCACAACGAUGAAUCAUGUGACAAAAAUUUUAAUCAGACCAAAUGAGUAUUUUAUUAUCAAGAAAAGGACAUACAAUUCCUAGUAUCGUGUGUCAGUUCCGGUAUACUUCAUCAGUUUACUCAAUAAUAACAUUACACAAACUUCAAAAAUUAAGUACCAUAGUGGAACUUAAUGAAAGUAUCAGAGAAUAGAACAAGUCUAUUGAUUACGUGUACUUGAUUGUUGCUCCUCCUUUACCAAUAAUUCCACUGCAAG